rnacentral:rRNA from 1 species
GGGGGACAACAGUUGGAAACGACUGCUAAUACCGCAUGAUGUAUCUGGAAGGCAUCUUCCGGAUACCAAAGAUUUAUCGCUGUGGGAUGGGCUCAUGUCUGAUUAGUUAGUUGGUGGGGUAACGGCCUACCAAGACUGCGAUCAGUAGCCGGACUGAGAGGUUGAACGGCCACAUUGGGACUGAGAUACGGCCCAGACUCCUACGGGAGGCAGCAGUGGGGAAUAUUGGGCAAUGGGCGAAAGCCUGACCCAGCAACGCCGCGUGAAGGAAGAAGGCCUUCGGAUUGUAAACUUCUUUUAUGAGGGACGAAGGAAGUGACGGUACCUCAUGAAUAAGCCACGGCUAACUACGUGCCAGCAGCCGCGGUAAUACGUAGGUGGCAAGCGUUGUCCGGAUUUACUGGGUGUAAAGGGCGCGUAGGCGGGAUGGCAAGUCAGAUGUGAAAUCCAUGGGCUCAACCCAUGAACUGCAUUUGAAACUGUCGUUCUUGAGUAUCGGAGAGGCAAGCGGAAUUCCUAGUGUA